rnacentral:lncRNA from 1 species
GACGAGCUUCGCCGGUGUCUUCAUUGAAGUCCUGUUGGUCCCUACCGGCACAUCACACACUCCUGGAAGCAUGAUCUUCACUCCCUUCCUUCCACCUGCUGACCUGUCUGUCUUUCAGAAUGUGAAAGGGCCGCAAAAAGACCCUGAGGAAUUGGUUGCUGUAUCUGACACCGCGGAGGACCCAUCCAGUGGCACAGGCUUGCCCAGGGAACCUGCUCUUCUGCGAGGGUCUUGGAGGAGCCGGUUCCAGAGGGCCCUGGCAUGUUUCAUCAAGUGCUUCAGGGGAGGAUACCGGGCACUCGGAAUCUGAGACCACCGGAGCCACAGACACAGGCGUGAACGGUGACCGAGCCCCCUCUGAUGCUCCAUGCCCCUGCUCGCCCCAGUGUCCCGGUCACCGGGCCUGAAAUAAAUGCUGGCACGCUUGACUGUU